rnacentral:rRNA from 1 species
AUGGCUCCUUCAAUCGUCUGCAACGAUGCGAUCCAGGGUGAGGUUUUCCUCCCCGGACAAAUUUUCGUAUUCGGCGGCUUCGUACUGCGGGCCAACUCGCUUGGCCAUCUGGAGCAGAUUGAUAGCUACGCCCCUGGCCAUCAGGUCAGCUUUGGAAGCUUGAACUAUACUGCCGACAUCCGCGGAAACUGGAUCUUCGACGGAUUCGAGCCCAUGUCAGGUGCGCCGAACAGUCACGUCGAGCAUGACUUAGAUCUGCCAUCAGACGGUGUUCGGGAUAUCACACCUACGGCUGCUCCGGCUCUUAAUUCAGAGCAGAUUGUGCCAUCCAAGGACGGGUGGAUAGACUCUGCCACGUUGACCGCACACCUAUCGGCGCUAGAGCCGAGCACAAUCUUCACCUCCAAAGAGAUCUGUGUCGUCGGACCCUCAGGCUCAUCUCCGACCAUAGGUUCCGAACCACGUGCGUCCGUGCCUAUCGAAUCUGAUUGGGCACCGAUCAUGGAGUUUACCUCCGUGGAUAUCUUUCAGCACUCGCCCUUGGGCAAUGUGCUAAAUUCAUUAAGGUCUCUUUCUCUGUCAGGGGACUCUUGGCCGAACUAUGUCCGGCUUGAGUGGGAAGCUGACGACGAAGAAAUUCGUUCCCCACCCACCACCCACUUGAUAGCCACUGUCGAUGACUUAACCAACAUGCUUGACUUUGACUCCGAAGACAUCGACGGUAUGGAUGACGAUUUAGGAGAAGAACAGGAACCAUCGCCCAUAGGGAACUGGACAGCCACCUCAUCAUAUGAUAUAUACAUAGUGGACACCCCCAGAGAAAGCAAUGGCGACGAGGCAACGGAGGACAAUCCCCUUGCGAAGCAAUCUAAGCACCGGCAUCAUAGGCGCCGCUCUAAGCCCCAUCAUAGAAAAAAUAGUGAUACGAGCACAAGAGAUGGUAGCUGA